rnacentral:rRNA from 1 species
UACGUAGGGUGCGAGCGUUGUCCGGAAUUAUUGGGCGUAAAGGGCUCGUAGGCGGUUUGUCGCGUCGGGAGUGAAAACCUCGGGCUUAACUCGGGGCUUGCUUUCGAUACGGGCAGACUGGAGGUAUGCAGGGGAGAACGGAAUUCCUGGUGUAGCGGUGAAAUGCGCGGAUAUCAGGAGGAACACCGGUGGCGAAGGCGGUUCUCUGGGCAUGACCUGACGCUGAGGAGCGAAAGUGUGGGGAGCGAACAGG